rnacentral:rRNA from 1 species
AGCGAACGCUGGCGGCAGGCUUAACACAUGCAAGUCGAACGGCAGCACCCUAAUAGCUUGCUCUGCCGGGUGGUGAAUGGCGGACGGGAGAGGAAAAUAACGGAACCUACUCUUUCGUGUAGGUUAAUGAAAGGAAACUUACUCUCAUACCGCAUACCCCCUUGGGUUGAAAGCAGGGGAACUUUUCGGCUUUUGCGAUUGAAUGAGCGGAUGUCGGAUUAGCUAGUUGGCGGGGUAAAGGCCCACCAAGGCGACGAUCCGUAGCUGGUCUGAGAGGAUGAUCAGCCACACUGGAACUGAGACACGGUCCAGACUCCUACGGGAGGCAGCAGUGGGGAAUAUUGGACAAUGGGCGCAAGCCUGAUCCAGCCAUACCGCGUGGGUGAAGAAGGCCUUCGGGUUGUAAAGCCCUUUUGUUGGGAAAGAAAAGCAGCAGGUUAAUACCCCGCUGUUCUGACGGUACCCAAAGAAUAAGCACCGGCUAACUUCGUG